GUUUCCACUUCAGGUGCGACAGAAGGGUGAACUCCACCUCACCUCCUGGCUACAGAGUGCGGUGGCGCCAGCACAGAGCUCUGCUCAACGUCCCUCUGUGCUUUCACGAUGCUGAUGGAUUAUGAAGUCCACAGACAGCAAGGGCAGUAUCACUGCAGUGGCAGUCGCAGAUGGACUUUCAGUCGCCUCUAGGAGCUCCACCCCACAGAAACACAGACAGCAGCCAGUGGAAAUGUUCAGCUGAGUGUGAGGUGCCUGCACUGUGGGCCCAAGCCAGGAGCCCUGCCUGGUGAAGAGUAGCAGAUGAGGAAGCGGAUGCAUAGCAAGUUUAAAUAGCUUGCAGAAGGACACACAGUUUGCAAGUGAAGGAGCUCAAAUUCAAAGACUGGCAGUCUGCAUCCAGAGUUGAUCAU
rnacentral:lncRNA from 1 species